CCUACGUGAGGCAGCAGUGAGGAAUAUUUGUCAAUGGGCGGAAGCCUGAACCAGCCAAGCCGCGUGAGGGAAGAAGGUACAGCGUAUCGUAAACCUCUUUUGUCAGGGAACAAAGGCGGGGACUAGUCCCCGGAUGAGGGUACCUGAAGAAAAAGCAUCGGCUAACUCCGUGCCAGCAGCCGCGGUAAUACGGAGGAUGCGUGCUUUAUCCGGAGUUAUUGGGGUUAAAGGGUGGGCAGGCGGCCUGUUAAGUCAGCGGUAAAAGCCCGGGGCGCAACCCCGGCGAGCCGUUGAAACUGGCGGGCUGGAGUGGGAGAGAGGGACGCGGAAUGCGCGGUGUAGCGGUGAAAUGCUUAGAUAUCGCGCAGAACCCCGAUGGCGAAGGCAGCGUACCGGCUCCACACUGACGCUGAGGCACGAAAGCGGGGGUAUCGAACAGGAUUAGAUACCCGAGUAGUC
rnacentral:rRNA from 1 species